rnacentral:rRNA from 1 species
UACGUAGGGUGCAAGCGUUGUCCGGAAUUAUUGGGCGUAAAGAGCUCGUAGGCGGUUUGUCGCGUCUGCUGUGAAAACUCGGGGCUUAACUCCGGGCCUGCAGUGGGUACGGGCAGACUAGAGUGCGGUAGGGGAGACUGGAAUUCCUGGUGUAGCGGUGAAAUGCGCAGAUAUCAGGAGGAACACCGGUGGCGAAGGCGGCUGCCUGGCCUAGGACUGACGCUGAGACGCGAAAGCGUGGGGAGCGAACGGG